rnacentral:lncRNA from 1 species
UCGAACCUAUCUCUUUAAUCUUUUCACACUUGAGCAUUUAUUUCAAAACAAAUAAUUAAUUUAGCAUAAAGAUAAAAUAAGCAAGAGGUUCCUAUAGAGUACUAUAGACGUUUAGGGUGCUAGUACCUUCCCUUUGCAUAACCAACCCCCGGACCUUUGAUCUCUCAAAAAUAGGGUUUUUUCGAGCUUUCUCCCUUUUCUUCGGAAAAAUAAAAGAUCGGUGGUGAUCUUAAAUUGCGAGUCAAUGCUAAUCAAUAGCUUGAUAUCCGAAAAUCACCG